rnacentral:tRNA from 1 species
GGAUUGUGGCUCAGUGGUAGAGUGCUCACCUACUAUGCACGGGGCCCUGGGUUCGAUCCUCAGCACCA